CGUAGGGUGCGAGCGUUAAUCGGAAUUACUGGGCGUAAAGCGUGCGCAGGCGGUUUUGUAAGCCAGAUGUGAAAGCCCCGGGCUUAACCUGGGAAUGGCAUUUGGGACUGCAAGGCUUGAGUGCGGCAGAGGAGACUGGAAUUCCUGGUGUAGCAGUGAAAUGCGUAGAUAUCAGGAGGAAUACCGAUGGCGAAGGCAGGUCUCUGGGCUGACACUGACGCUCAUGCACGAAAGCGUGGGGAGCAAACAGGAUUAGAUACCCUGGUAGUCCACGCCCUAAACGAUGUCGACUGGUUGUUGGGGGUUUGACACUCUCAGUAACGAAGCUAACGCGUGAAGUCGACCGCCUGGGGAGUACGGCCGGCAAGGUUA
rnacentral:rRNA from 1 species